rnacentral:misc_RNA from 1 species
CUAUAGGAGCUGCUUUGUUAGUGGUAGUUGCAGAUAUGGGUGAUCCAGAUGCGCAAUGUGAAUGAGGCUGCCAUCUGAGAGUUGAGGUUGGGCAAAUCAGUAUCUGUUGAGUGGAUUGUGCAUGAGCAAACGCCAGUCAGAUUUUUGUUUAGCCUCUUUUAUAUGCAUCUACACUACAGUGGUUGAAGAUAUAAGUAACAUAGAAUUAGUUUUUAUUACAUUGAUAAACAGUGUGUGGCUAUAUUGGCACAACAUCAUAUAAGGGAUGGGAUUACCAAACCAACACUAGAUAAUAAUGGAGCUGUUGAUUUAGUUUUUUAAACUUAGUUGCAUUUGCUACUGAAACUUAAGGCAGAGUCAAACAAUUGGAACAAGGCAUUAUUUGCUGAUUUAAUCUUGAUCCUUACUUUUGCAAUAAUUUACUCUCAUUGGAACUUAUUGUUCAGGGUACUUUAUUUAAAUUCACACUGAUGAGCUUUGCAACUUGAUGGUUUAGAUGUUUACAAUUUAUAUAUGAGCUAGAUUUACAUAGAUGGCUAAUUAUUAUGGUGGUUCUAUUAGUUUUGAAUUGUAUUUGACAUUAUUUGGUAAUUUUCUCUGUCUUGUUCUUUUGAUAGAAUGAUUAUGUUCAAUCAAAGCAACAAGCUUUCUAUUAUUUGGGGAAGGCAAUUGACCAGGUGUGUUUUCCAAAAGCAUACACUUAGUAAUGAUGCUUGUGAGAUGUCUUACAGCCUUGUGUUAUUGCCAUGUUUUAGUUCCAUCCAGGUGCUCUUUACCUUCUCUGUGCUGUAUAUUUGACUGAGUAUCAUGUGAAGAAAGGUGUUGGCUCAGCUUUAUGGUUUUUUCAUAAGGCAUCAGAUAAGAUAAAAGAAAGUGUUCUUUAUGCUAAAUAAUUUGCAUCUGUUGGUUUUCAAUUACUUUAUUGGGGCACACACUGGAAGAUUCUUAUUGCUAAUAAUGCAUUCUAAACUUGAUAUUGAUUGACAUUCUCAACUUUUCCUGUUCAAUUUUCAAGCUCAUUUUAGAAAGUUGUAGUUUGCACUUGCCAAAAACUCAAUACUUAUUUGCAAGUGCACGGAUUUGUAUAACUAAUACAAGAGUCAAGUAUUGUUCUCAUAAGAGUUGCCUUUAAGUACCAAAAUUUAUGCUAAUCUUAUCAAUAUCUAUGCUAUCAAAUUGAUUUAAUUGAAAGAAUUUAAAGUAAGCUAAAAUAGCAAUUGAACUAAAAUUAACUUCAAUUUAAAAUUAGAUAGCAAGAACAAUAAAAUUAAGCUAAAAACCAAUUAAAAGGAGGCUAUGAAUGUUGAUUUCACUUGACCCAUCAUUUAAUAUUAAUUAAUUUUGUCUAAUAAUCAAUUAAAAGGGGGCUAGGGUAAUAAUCAAAUAAUGUUUAAUAAUCCUUCCCAAGUCUUAUGAAACAUUCUAAUUAACAAAAUAACUCCUAUUUCCCAAUAAAGAGCUAUUGAGUUAAUUAAAGCAUAAAGAAAAAAGAUUAUGAUAAACAACACAUAGCAUUAGCCUUCUAGCUAAAAAUCUAUGAUAAUGGUUAUCUCAAACAAGAUUCGCAACUUACAUCCCAGAAAAAUCAUAAAUCAAUAAUCAAUUAGGUUUGUCUCUAAUACCCAAUAGCAUUGAGAGUAAAGACAACCAUUAAUUGCCAAGAUAAAGAGAACUGAUCAAAAUUCAUAAGAUUAACUUAGGUAAGCUACAUCAAAAUCCCUAUCUAAGUAACUUAGCCAACUCAUGAUAUCAAAAAACAAAACAAACUUAGUGAAAUUAUAACCAAACAUGACAAAAUUAAGUGGGUUCCCAGUGAAAAAAGAAAUAACAAAUGAGAAGGAAGAAGAACUCUUAGAAGACUUUGGUGCAGAAAAUCCUCUUUCAAAUCCAAAUCCUCCAAGAAAUUCCCUUCAAAAGCUUGCUUCCUAGCUCAAAAAUGGAUUCUCUAAGUGUUUGGAAACUUGAAGGUCACUUAUGGCAGAAAAGAACCUCCCCUCUUCAAGGAAAAACCAUUCUGGAGUCCCCCUAUUUCCUGGUCCACUUUUCAAGGCUGUUAUGGAGAGAAUCUGCUCUUGUUGGAAGACUCACGGCCAGGGCGUGCGUGAUGGCCAGUCUCACGGCUUGGAUGUGGAAAUGUCUCUGGUCACUUAUUUCUUUGAUUCUUCAUUUUUUUUUUUUCCCAAAUUAUGAGCAAUGUUCAUGCCCUGGGGGUGAAAUGUUCAACAAUCACGGCUUUGACGUGACUUAGGCACACUAAAAUGGUCCCAAAUGACCUCAAGUGCUUCCUUUACCUAAUUCCCUUCAAUCCAUGGUCAAUUUUCACCUAAAACCGAGUAAAAACACCAAAAUUAAACUAAGAACAAGAAAACUAAUAAAAUUACUGUUAAAGAUAAAAAUUAAUCACAAAGGAAUUCAAAAUUUGUUGAAAACUAAUAAAAUUACUCAAAUGAACGCUAUAUUUUCACAAUAUAUCAAUCAUAAACGACACAGCUUUAGUGUCCUUGAAGUUGGGAUUGCAAAAGUUUGAUGUGGCCUUAUAAAACCUCCAUAGAAAUGCAUCUUUUAACUUUUGGAGUUAUUUAUGUGCAUAGGGAUUAAUUGGUGAUAAAAGAGCUCCAGAUUCCUUGGAAUUGAAAGGAGGAAUUAUUCAGCAUUAUUUCUUUAUAUCACCUUACUAAGUUGAGUUCAUUGUAUUAUUUGAUGAUAAAUGAUAAGCAUUUGAAAAAAAAAAGUUGUGAUACAAUAGGUCACUGAUUUGUAUGACUUUUUGGAAAUUUAGAAAAAUGAUUCAACAGCCUGAUGGGAGACCUCUAAAAAUUACACCUAGAUGUGCACACUGCCUGUCAGCAACUUUUGAUGAUGUUUGUUUUAUUUGUGUCAACUGAGAAACCUCUUUCUGAAGUUCCUGAAUAUCAUGCCUGUUCUCUCUGAUCUCUCGUAUUUCUCCAUUUCUUCUAUUUUUUCUCUAAUUUCAUCUCUGCCCCAUUCUACUAUCCUCUGUUCUUCUUCUAUUUCUGCUUUUCCUUAAUCAAUCCAACAGUAAUCUGGUAUUUUCAUUGUGUUCAUUCUCUCAGGAGGAAAAGAAAAAAAUUGUGACCUCAGAAAGCUACUGAAGCCUUAAAUUUGACAUAAGUUGACUGCCUUUAAUAGUGUCUAGGAAUAGGCAACCCAUGGCCACGUAACUGGGCUUUUGGCUUUUCAGUGUUUUUAUGCUGCAGUAUGCUACCAUGCUUGAUGUAUAUGAUGGCAACAGAUAUAUUUUUAGAGUGCCUUUGAUUAAAAAAAGAAAGGGGAAGAAAAAAGGGUUUCUUUCACUGUCUGAGAAGGAAAAUGAAAAUGCUGAAUUUCUAAAUUUUUGAACCUCAUUGUUAUUUGUUAAUGCAUCAACUUCAUAUGGACCUCUCCUCGUAUUAGCACUUUUUGCAGGGGCAUGCUGGUGCAGCUAUAGCAUAUCGAUCUUUCCUUCUUAGAGAUUAGCUGGUCCUGCCUUUUUUGGCAGUUCUGUACUUCUGUUAGAAUUCUAUGAUUUUUAGUAAUAAUUUCCUCCCUUUUUGAUAUGUAAUCAAUCAAUACACUCACAUGAACACGUUCUGGUUAAACCCAGAGCUGAGAGAAUUCCUUUUGAGGGAUGAUCCAAUUCCAUUGAUAAAUAUUUUGUGUGUUAAACUACUAAGUCUUUCAUUAUAACAAUAUUGCAUCUUUUCUUGUCAUUCGCUACAAACAAGUCAAAAGUAAAACCUAGGCUUGACAAAAAUUCUAGUAACAAGAACUGCACAAACCACAAAAAAUUGGGAACAAAAACUGCACAAACUGCAGGCCUUGCUAGCUGAAAUUUCACAUUUGCAUACUGGAGGCAAGUGGGUAAUCCUAAUCCAUCACCACUUGAUAACACUUACUUUUGGCAACUCCUUUUCUAUUUUCUUGGGGUGGGUGGUUUCUUUCAUCUAAAUGUAGUGUAACCUCUUUAGGUUGUUUUAUCCAUUCAAAAGAAUACAGAAGUUCUUCAUUUGAUUUGAGCUAACCUUAAUGGUGCAAUUCUC